rnacentral:lncRNA from 1 species
UCGAGUUUUGUGCACCUUUUGACAGAAAGCCAUUCUAGACGAGUGAGACCUAUGACGCAAUCUGGAAUCGUCUCUAUAUCACUGCCAUUAAGAAUUAGGUCAGUUAUAAAGAGUGGUACAUGUGUCAAUCUCUUGAGGCUGCUGCUGCAAAUGUUGAGGCGAUCAAGACGAGACAAACAUCCAGCAACUGAUGGAGGGACAUCUUCUAUAUCUGUAUCUCCGAGAUUGAGAACCUUGAUGUUACUGGAGAUUUCUGGAAAAGUUCUCAACCGUGAGCAACCAUUCAUGGUGAGUAUCUUAAGAGAUGCUAAGUUGAUGUUGCUGGGAAUAACUUGUAGCAUACAGCAAAAACCAACAUCUAGAAUCUUUAGUUUUUGUAGAUUCUUAAUAGAAGAUGGAAGCUCCACCAAACUUCCGCAGCCCUCAAGUGUCAAUUCCUCGAGAUUAGUAGCAUUUGAAAGAUUUGGGAUUUCUUUCAAUUGACGGGAAAACAUCAGAUCUAUGAUCUUGAGAUUAGGAAGGGACUGCAUGUUAAAUGAGAAAUAUUUCUUAUUUAAAUUGAAUCAUUAGAAGCACUAGAAAGAAUAUCGAAUACCAAACCUGGAUUCCUCCCCAGAGCUUCUCGAGAUUGCUAAAUGGCAUACGGAGUUCCAUGAGACGUUCCGGCUGAAACCUCCGAGGAAGACUUGUUCUUGGGUAAAAUUCCCAAUGUAGUAACCUAAGAAGAGGUAAAUAAUCCAAAUCUUCUGGUAUUUGCAAAGUACCUUCGCCGCCAAACCAACGCCUAAAGAUUCUUAGGAAUCGGAGAUUACGCAUUCCUUCAAAAGCCCCCUUACUUACAGAAACUUCUCCGAUAUUGGAUGUAUCAAAUGAUAUACCUAUGACUGAUCCAGUACCCUACAAAAUAACAUUGCCAAUGACUGAUGAAAUUGUUAUCACUAAAAAUAGGCAAUAUACAUGUAAGAACUUAAACUUACUGUUUCGGUUGACAGUACAUCACAAAUCUCAUCGGCCUCAAAUAAAAAUUGACGUUUCCCGGGCUCGUCAGACUGUUCAUGAACUAUCUGUCUACCCAAUUGUUGUAGUAGAUGGUGCAUCACUAUACGGCCAUAGGUAGAUUUAUGCACGAGAGAUUUAUCGGCUAGGGUCUCUAACCCAUUCCUAACAUCCAAGUUACUAUCAGAAAGCACAGAUAUCACAUUAUCAACGACUUCAUUGUUGAAGAAGCAUGCAAUGUGAAGGAAUAGAGAUUGAUUUUUCUUCGACAAACUGUCGAAUCCCACUUUCAAAAUGUCUUCAACUUUUCCAUCAAGACUUCCAUCAAUUCUAGAUAAUUGAAGUUCCCACUCUUGCUUGCUCUGCCCACGCAAAGAUGAACCCACGACACAAAGGCCUAAUGGAAGAUUGCCGCAAAGCUCUGCUACUUUAUUGGCAACCUCUUCAAAACCAUUUGGUACAGAGCUUUGUUUGAAAGCAGAGAGACAUAAGAUCUCAAGAGCUUCUUCCUCGGAUGGGAAAUCCACAUGGUAGAUAUCCUUGAUCCCAUGUGCCUCCAAAAUCUUCUUAUCUUCUGUGGUAACGAUGAUCCGGCUUCCAGAACCAAACCAAGAAGGUUCUUUAGCCAAUACCUCUAAUUGCUCUAGAUCAUCUACAUCAUCAAGAAUGAUGAGCACUCUUUGACGUUGUAGCCUUUCUUUGAUUGCACCUAAAUGACGCAUCUUCAUAUUCUCUUGGUUAAAAAUCUUAGACAAAAGUUGGUUUUGCAACCACAACUUGGAAUCAUGGUCAUCAACACCCAUUCUGCUCUUAAGACUACCCUUGAGGUUCCCCAUAAAACAUUUAAGUUGAAAAUUGCUAGAGAGUUGGUUGUCUAAAGCUCUAGCAAUGGUGGACUUACCAAUCCCUGCAGGACCCCAAAUCCCAAUCAUCUUGACUUCAUCACUUUCCAAGCAUAACAAAGAGUUCAAUUUUGCCAAGUGAGCUUCAUGUCCCACCAUCCCGUCAAAAUCCUUCGACGGUGUAAGAUUAAGUUUGUUUGAAACAUCGGUAGCAAUCUUUUUAAUCAUAUCUGCUUCAUUAGCCCUAACAAAAGCAAAACAAAAUCAUGUUGGUGGGUCGAAAUUACAAAAAUUUGAAGCACUAAUUCAUUCAGAGACAAAAAAAAAAAGAAAAAAAAAAAAAGAAGAAGAUAAAAACAAGAUACCAAUUAAGAGAAUGUUCUCCUUCUAUGUUUGCAGCAUGAGUCAAAGCAUUGCUCCAACUCUGCUUCGUCUCCUCACUUUUCCCUUCACAAGUCUUCAUGAAUGCGGUUCCGAAAUCUCCCUUCUGUUUCCGUACACUCGACGGAUCAACGUCAUAGAAGAUGGUCAUCACGAUCUGCCCCUGAUCUUCUUUGCACUUGAAGAUUUCCACAAGUUCAUCUAAACACCAGCUCGAAGAAGCGUACUUCUUCGAGAGCAGCACGAUCGAGACUCGAGAUUCUCUAAUCGCUUGUACGAGCUCAGGUUUAAUCGUGUGGCCUCUCUCGAUCUCCUGAUCUUUAAACGUCGUGAUCCCUUUGCUUGCGAAGUGAUCGUGUAAAUGACUGAGAAACCCUCUACGAACAUCUGGGCCAUGGAAGCUCGGGAAAACAUGGUAUCUCAUGAUGCCAGAGGAAGAAGAAGAAGAAGCCAUGAGAGAUCACAAAUGCUUGAACUUGAAGAAAGUAUUUUUAGAAUGGUAUUGGAGAAAGUAUGAUUGGAAAAGCAAGAUCCUUCGGUUAUUUAUCGAAGCAAAAAAAACGCGUAAAAGGAGAAGAGAAAUUUCGAAGAAAUUGGAAUGUACUGAAGAAAUACAAAAUAGACAAAUUUCAAAGGAAAGCUCCUUUGGUUUUUGUAGUGAAGCAAAAAAACGCGUAAAGAGAAGAGAAAUUUCGAAGAAAUUGGAAUGUAAUUGAAGAAAUACAAAAUAGAAGGGGACAAAUUUCAAAAGCGUACGUGUUUCUUUAUAGUCGUCGAGGACCACAAUCACUCAUUAAAGCUUUGCCAUGUGAAAUGAGCACAGAGUUAUAAUAAGUAUCCGACAGUCAAGUUGGUAGAGAGCACAGAGUUAUAAUAAGUAUCCGACAGUCAAGAUGGUAGAGACGACGAAUCACGAAGUUUCGAAUGAGCUCAACCACAUACCACAUUUGGUUUGAAAAGUAAACCGGGUCUUUUAUUUGUUUUAAAUUCAAUAACAGUAAUAUCGAAUUAAAUUCUGCUUUUGGGAAUGAUGAUUUUGGAUAUUUAACUUAGGUUUUUUCUGUUUUUUUUUUUUUUUUGUGUAGUGGAUGUAUUGAAAUAACGUGUGGCUUCUAUUUUAACAGCUUAUGUUUCAUUGGUGUGGAGGACACUCAGUUUCAUAAGUAAAAGAGAAGUUAUCAAAGAAAUUACGAAUUUGACAUUUUAGGGCCUGAUAUUGGGCCCUUAACUUUAUAAACGGGCUGAGCCUGAGAUUUCGGUUUUCCCGAUACUCGCAACUAAGAGUGUCAAAAUAAGCUAGCUCGCUCAACUCGGUUCAGCUCAUGAUGAGCUCGGACAUUUUAUGAGCUAACUCAGCUCAGCUCAUUUAUUAGAUGAGCUUCAAUAUAUAAAUUCGGACUCAGAUCAUCUUGGUCACGAGUUAAAUGAGCUAGCUCAUAACAAAUAAAUAUAAUAACAAAAAUAUUGUAAAUUUUUUUAAAAAAAUUAAAAUAAAUCCAAUAACAUAAUUAAUUCUAAAGUUAAAUAAUGGAAAUAAACCAAGAAAAAAAUAAUCUCAAAACGCCAAACAAAAAAAAUCUCAAAUAAUAAAUCCUAACAAUUAAAUUAAAUUAAUUAAAGAUAAUAGAAAUAUGGAAUGAUCAAGAAUUUAUUCCGUGUUAGAGUCUUGCUCUUGAGAUGAUCCUACAUCAACAUCUUCAUUGUCUUCAUCUACAAGUAAACGUUUUAGAUAAUAUCUAAAUAUGAUAAUUCCUUUCAUUUUUUUGGGAAACGUUUAAGAUAAAUUUUUUAAAGGAUUAUUUCUAUAUUACUUAAUUAUCUUCUAAAAUUAAUAUGUAAAAACACAAAUUUUCUAAAAGAAUAAUUCUAUUUUUGUUUAAUUUAUAUGGAAAAGAUAUAUAUAUAUAUAUAUAUAUAUAUUUCUAAAAAAAGUCAAGCUCAUGUUCAUUAAAGCUCGCUCAUAUAACUCGCGAUCUAAAAAAAGCUCGAUCACAUAACUCAUUUAUUAAAUGAGCCUAAAAAACAGAGCUCGUGUUCAUGAAAAAUCGAGCUGAGCUGAACCAGCUUAUGAGUUGCGAGCUCAUUUUGACACCCCUACUCGCAACAAAUCCGUUCAAAACAGUAUUUUAUCUAAAUCGCGCUAAAAUUUUAUCAUCCCACCUAACAUUGUGGGAUGUGCAAGCAACGUGAAGGCCAUAACAUUGAUACUAUAUGCGAUUAACAAUUAUUAAAAAGUGUAUUUUAUAUAUGGGACUCCAAAGAACUCGGAAAAUGUUUUCAACGAUCAAAAUCACACCAAACCAAAAUUCAACAUUUUCCUGCAACUUUUUUUUUUCUCUUAAUUUUCUUAGCAACCAAGAAGAAGAAAAAACAGAGGAAAAAUAAAACUCUUUUUUCUUCGUCUUCUGAAUUCCUCAGUUGCUUUCAAAUUCUCAUUUAAAUCUGUUGUAUUGAUCGGUGAGAGACAUUCUACGUAACCAAUUUUUCAAAGGUUGAUUUUCUUUUUAUCAAUUUUAUCAAUUUGAGAUUGUUUUUUGGAUGAUCAGGUCGGAUAUUUGCUCUGUUUCGGUUCGUGUAUGAUAUGCUUUUGUAUGCUCGAUUAUUGAUCGUUCCUUAAAUCAUAAAGAAUCUUCCUUUAUAUUAGUUGUCGUUUUCAAAUUUCUAUGCAAAAUUUUUUACUUUUUAAUGUUUUAUGAUAUCAUAAAACAUUAAAAAGUAAAAAAAUUUGCAUAGAAAUUUGAAAACGACAUCCAAUUCAAAAAAAUAAAAAUUCUAAAACGACACUUAUUAAAAUACGGAGGAGUAACAAGUAUCCGACAGUCAAGUUGGUAGAGACGACGAAUCACGAAGUUUCGAAUGAGCUCAACCACAUACCACAUUUUGUAAAUUUGGUUUGAAAAGUAAACCGGGUCUUUUAUUUGUUUUAAAUUCAAUAACAGUAAUAUCGAAUUAAAUUCUGCUUUUGGGAAUGAUGAUUUUGGAUGAUUAAUUUAGGUUUUUUCUGUUUUUUUUUUUUUUUUUGUGUGUAGUGGAUGUAUUGAAAUAACGUGUGGCUUCUAUUUUAAUAGCUUCUGUCUCAUUGGUGUGGAGGACACUCAGUUUCAUAAGUAAAAGAGAAGUUAUCAAAGAAAUUACGAAUUUGACAUUUUAGGACAUGAUAUUGGGCCCUUAACUUUAUAAACGGGCUGAGCCUGAGAUUUCGGUUUUCCGAUACUCGUAACUAGGGGUGUCAAAAUAAGCUAGCUCGCUCAACUCGGUUCAGUUCAUGAUGAGCUCGGAUAUUUUAUGAGCUAACUCAGCUCAGCUCAUUUAUUAGAUGAGCUUCAAUAUAUAAACUCGGACUCAGAUCAUCUUGGUCACGAGUUAAAGGAGCUAGCUCAUAACAAAUAAAUAUAAUAACAAAAAUAUUGUAAUUUUAAAAAAAAAAAAUUAAAAUAAAUUUAAUAACAUAAUUAAUUCUGAAGUUAAAUAAUGGAAAUAAAUCCAAGAAAAAAAUAAUUUCAAAACGCCAAACAAAAAAAAAUCUCAAAUAAUAAAUCCUAACAAUUAAAUUAAAUUAAUUAAAGAUAAUAGAAUUAUGGAAUGAUCAAGAAUUUAUUCCGUGUUAGAGUCUUGCUCUUGAGAUGAUCCUACAUCAACAUCUUCAUUGUCUUCAUCUACAAGUAAACGUUUUAGAUAAUAUCUAAAUAGGAUAAUUCCUUUCUUUUUUUUGGGAAACGUUUAAGAUAAAUUUUUUAAAGGAUUAUUUCUAUAUUACUUAAUUAUCUUCUAAAAUUAAUAUGUAAAAAGACACAAAUUUUCUAAAAGAAUAAUUCUAUUUUUGUUUAAUUUAAAUGGAAAAGAUAUAUAUAAAUAUAUAUAUAUAUAUAUAUAUAUAUAUAUAUCUAAAAAAAGUCGAGCUCAUGUUCAUUAAAUCUCGCUCAUAUAACUCGCGAUCUAAAAAAAGCUCGAUCACAUAACUCAUUUAUUAAAUGAGUCUAAAAAACAGAGCUCGUGCUCAUGAAAAAUCGAGCUGAGCUGAACCAGCUUAUGAGUUGCAAGCUCAUUUUGACACCCCUACUCGCAACAAAUCCGUUCAAAACAGUAUUUUAUCUAAAUCGCGCUAAAAUUUUAUCAUCCCACCUAACAUUGUGGGAUGUGCAAGCAACGUGAAGGCCAUAACAUUGAUACUAUAUGCGAUUAACAGUUAUUAAAAAGUGUAUUUUAUAUAUGGGACUCCGAAGAACUCGGAAAAUGUUUUCAACGAUCAAAAUCACACCAAACCAAAAUUCAACAUUUUCCUGCAACUUUUUGUUUUUCUCUUAAUUAUCUUAGCAACCAAGAAGAAGAAAAAACAGGGGAAAAAUAAAACUCUUUUUUCUUCUUCUUCUUCUGAAUUUCUCAGUUGCUUUUUAUUUCUCUUUUGAAUCUGUUUUAUUGAUCGGUGAGAGACAUUCUACAUAACCAAUUUUUUAACGGUUGAUUUUUCUCUUUGGAAAGAAAACCAACAGGGUAGAUAUCAUAAACUCAUGUGCCUUUAGAAUCCUUCUAUCUUCAGUGGUAAUGAUAAUCCGACUUCCAGAACCAAACAAAGAAAGCUGCCAAGGCCUCAAAUUGCUGUAGAUUGUCUACAUCAUCAAGAAUGAUAAGCACUCAUGAAUCUUGUAGCCAUUCCUUGAUUGCAUCUAAAUUAUUUAUCCUCAUAUCCCUUUUGUUGAAAAUCUUGGACAGAAGUUGGUUUUGUAAACACAACAUGGAAUCAUAGUCAUCAACACCCAUUAUGCUCUUAUAACUUCCUUUGAGGUUCCCCAUAAAACAACUAAGUGGAAACUCGCUACAAAUUUGGUUAUAUAGAGCUCUAGCAAUGGUAGUCUUACAAAUUCCCGCAGGACCCCAAAUUACAAUCAUCUUCACGUCAUCGCAUCCAAGGCAUAACAAAGAGUCCAGUUUAUUCAAGUGAGCUUCAAUUCCUACCAUACCCUUAAAAUCCCUAGACGGUCUAGCAUUCAGUCUGUUUGAAACAUCAAUAGCAAUCUUUUCAAUCAUUUCUGCUUCAUUAGCCCUAACACAUGCAAACAAAAUCAUGUUAAGGAGUCUAAAUUUCCUUAAAGUGAAGCAUUUCCAAAAGAUAAUUAAGUUCAUUAAGAGACGAUUUACAUACCAAUUAAGAGAGUGUUCCCCGGCAAUCUGAGCUUCACCUCCUCAGUUUUCCCUUGACAAGUCUUCUCGAAAGCGCUCCUGAAAUUUCCCUCCUGUUUCCGUACAUCGGACGGAUCAACGUCGUAAAAAAUGGUCAUCACAAUCUGCCCUUGAGACUGCUUCUUCGCACUUCAAGAUUUCAACCAAUUCAUCUAAACACCAGCUGGAAGAAGCGUACCUUCUUCGAGAGCACCACAAUCGAGACUCUAGAUUCUCUAAUCGCUUGUACGAGCUCAGGUCCAAUCGUGUGGCCUCUCUUGAUCUCCUGAUCAUUGAAAGUUGUGAUUCCUUUUGCUUGCGAAAUGACAGUGUAAAUGACUGAGAAACCCUCUACGGAAAUCUGGACCGUGAAAGCUCGAAAAGACAUGGAAUCUCUUCAUACGAGACGAAGAAAAAGAAGCCAUGAAACAGAUUGGUAAAUUUUGAGAUUGAAGAAGAAGGUACCACAAUGGUUUUGGAUAAGCAAUCUAUGGAGUAGAAAACAAGUCUCUCGCUUAUAUAAUUGAAGAAAACGCGUAACGAGAGGAUUGAAAUUUCAAAGGGAUUUGUCUCUCUGUAGAGAAAAAUACAAAAAAUGUUUCCCUCAAAGUCGUCGAUGACCCAUAAGAGUGUUUCCUCAUGGUCUUGAGAACCUCAUAAGGUUUUGAAUUUUUGGCAAUCGGAAUUUUAUUUCGUAGAGAUGAGCUCAGAGCUGAAGCAUGAGACUCGGUGAGAAGAUGAUCGGAGGAAGAAGAAAGAACCAGACAUGAUUCAAAAUUAGGGAUCUUAAAACUCUCGAUAUCCAAUUGUAAAUUUGGUUUGAAAAACUAAACCGGCCUUUUCAAUUCGAUCAAAAUUGGUUUUCUGGUUAGGUUUUCUGGUUAGAAACAAAAAAAGAAAUUAGAGAUUUUCUUAGCAACCAAGAAGAACACAAAAACAGGGGAAAAACACAACUCCGUUUUUUCUUCUUCUUCUUCUGAUCCUCAGUUGCUUUCAAAUUCUCUUUUGAAUCUGUUGUAUUGAUCGGUGAGAGACACUCUACAUAACCAAUUUUUCAACGGUUGAUUUUGUCUUCAUCAAUUUUUUCAAUUUGAGAUUGUUUAUUUGGAUGAUCAGGUCGGAGAUUUACUCUGUUUUGGUUUUUGUAUGAUAGGCUUUUGUAUGCUCGAUUGAUCGAUCCUUAAAUCAUAAAGGAUCUUCAUUUCAGGUUUGGCCUCAAAACCCUAUGUUGCUUCUUCUUGAUCUAUAUAUAUCUUAAUGUUCUAUGGUCUCAGCUUCUGUUCUUUGCUACUACGUCUACACUCAGUUUCUUAGUAAAAGAGAAGUUAUCACAGAGUUACAAUGGUUCUGAAUAAGCCAUCUAUUGAAUACAACAGUAGUUUCUUACUUACCUGGAAAGAAAAUAUACACAAGACAAUAACUAACCCUAAUGCAAUGGUGCUGCUUGCAUUCAAUAGUCUUGUUCUCAUUGUCCCAGUAAGUGAACUCGAACAGAACCUUGCUCAUGGUCACAUCCACUUCGUUAAAUAUUUAUGCUUUGUUGAUGAUACAAGUCACCACCAAAUUAUAAAAACAGAUGUUCUGAUAGAGAACGAGUUGACACAUCUGAUUAAAGACAUGCGGGAUUACUCUUCUUGAUUCGUCUAGUUUCACACAGUUGCAGGAAUAACAAUAGAAUCUCUUCAAUGAUUCACACUUUGCUUACAUUUUCGACACUCAACGGACUCCAAAAGAUCGAUAUGUGACACAGAGUUUUCUGCAUUUGUGGAUGCUACGUUCUUUUUAAGACUUUUCGUUGCUGCUACUCUGAGUUUUAUCCAUCAAAUCCAUGCACUGCACUCAAUGAUCUGACAUAUUUACUGCUUGUGACAUUUUCAUCUUUAGAGAUCCGAGCGGCUCCAUCCUCAAUCGCAUUUGAUUCUUCUGUGUUUCUGGGACAACUUAGUGUGAAAAAUAAAGUGAUGUUUCACGGUGGAGCUUUUUGUCUUCUUUUUCUUAGACCAACAACCUGUGUGUUUAGCGUUAUCCACAUUCUCAACAUUUUGGUAGCCAAUGUUGCCUACGGCUUCAGGUUCACAGUCCAAAUAUUCAUCAUAUCCUUCUUUCAAGAUCUGUAUACCACACUCAAUAAUCUUGUUGUUAUCUGAGCAAGUGAAUUCGAACAGAAUCUCGCUUUGUGAGUGUACUCCACAGAGAGUUCUUUUCCGGGUAAGCAGACAUAUUUGGCUUUCAAAUGGUGUAUGAUUUCUCUUCAAAGGCUCGCCUACUAAAUUAAACCAACUACUACUUGGUCUUGGACAUAUCAAAAUUCAGUAAGAUAUAUGUAAAAACUUACUGUUCCGUUUCCUAGUACAUUGAGAAUGUCUUCAGUUUCUAUUAAGAAAAUGGUGUUUAUUGGCAUUUCCAUAUUUCGUAAAGAUUUGCUGUUUAUUGUUGGUUUGGUUGGUUGCUGCUACUAUUAGUUUAAAACGGAUCAAAUUCGGGUUUAUUGGCAUUUCCAUAUUUCGGGUUUCCAAAUUGGUUGGUUGGAGUUAUCCGAGAUACGGAGAUGCCAAUAAACGUCAAUUUUUAAUGGAGUAGAGAUAGUGAUGCCAAAUUGGGUGCAUCACCAUCUCUUGAUGCGAGCAAGACGAAGAAGGAGAAGAAGCCAUGAAAGAUAUGGUAAGCUUUGAUAUGGACGAUGAAGGUAUCACAACUGUUUUGGAUAAGCUAUCUACGGAACUGAUAUUUCAAAGGACUUUGUCCUCCUUGUAUAGAAAAAUACAAAAACAAAAUGUUUCCCCCAAAGUCGGUGAGGACCCCAUCCAUCCAUAAGGUUUGAUUUCGUUAAGAUUUGCUGUUUAUUAUUGGUUUGGUUUGGUUGCUGCUACUAUUAGUUUCAUAGUAAAAGAGAUGUUGAAAAAGUUAUCACAGAGUUUGCAAUUGUUCUGAAUAAGCCUAUGUAGCAGAACAAUGAAAGCAACUCUCUGUGAAGAAUUAAGAAAAUUGGAGCUAGGGGAUCAGAUAUUCCAGUCUCUCUACAGAUUUGGUCAUUUGGAUAAUCAGAAAUGUACACAAUUAUGUUUGCUCAUCAGUCAAAGCUUUGCUUCAUGUCCUUCACAAGUUUUCUCGAAUGCGUUGACAAGAUAACAAAACUUCUCUUAGUACUUAAACAGCUAACUAACUAGAUCACAAAAUAACAAGACUUUUCUUAGUACUUAAACAGCUAAUUAAGAAAUAAAUACAAGGCUUUGUCUAUUAAACCAAAACGGUAUAACUCAUACUGUCGUACAGAACCUAGUGUAGCGACAAUAUUGGGAUAUGCUUUGUCUACUACUAAUCACACUCACAAAGGUUUUGCAAAACAAAACAGAUUUUUGCUCAUGGAUUCUGUAAAUCCCAAUUAAUCUCCUACUAAUUUCUCUACUCUAAGAGUAUUAGCGUGUUACCAUAUCCACAAUAACAAAGCUUAAAGACAAGAGGUCUAUACUUAACAGAUUUGCCAAGAGGUAUCACUCAUUCACUCAUUAAAGAAAAAGAGGUGUAACUCAUUCAGUCAUAUACUAAGCUUAUAGACAAGAGGUGUGACUCAUUCAAAUUCACAAACUCACAAAGGUUUUGCAAGACAAACAGAUUUUUUUGUAAAUCCCAAUUAAUCUCCAUACCUCCUUAUACACAUUCGUUUGCAUUUAAGGACUUGAGCUACAGGGGAAGAGCCGGCACUGUCACGAGUUUCGGGUUACUUGAUUAGAUGUUUUCAAUUUCAGAGAACUUGAAACCUUCUGCGUCAUAGUCUCCAUCUCCAUCUCCAACUUCAUAUCCAUCUGUGAGGUGAUUAUCGUCACCUCCAGUUUCCUAAUAAUCCACUUUGCUGCUGCUACUCUCAGUUUCACAGAUGUCCCCUUUGUCAGAACUCCACUCUGUCGUAUUCAUCUUCUUCUCUUUUAGACCAAAAAAAUUCUGAAGCCAACUCCUAAAACCUAUUUGUUUACUGGUUUUGAUGUUUUCAUCUCCAUUUCCAUCUUCGCUGCUGCUACUCUCAGUUUCAUGGCUGUCCACUUCGCUGCUGCUACUCUCAGUUUCAUAGUUGUCCAACUCCCUGAUGCUGCUACCCUCAGCUUCCUCUGUCAUGAUCUGUACACCACACUCACUAAUCUUGGCAUUGCCGACAUUGAAGCUGAACUCAAAUAUAAUCUCGCUCAUGGUCACAUCCACUUCAUGGCAUUUGUUUCCUUGGGGAAACAAAUCGCCAUGAAAUAUAAACAGAUGUUUUGACCGAAAAGACAAAGACAGAUAUUCAAACUCGUAGCUAUGAACUGUAACACCUCCUUUGCUUCUGAUACUACAACUUAUAGUUCUUAAUCCGGCGUACUCAACUGGCAAAAUGAGAAUGGAAGCCUUAAACCUUGAGGAAGCAGAGAGAGUACCCGGAGCCAGAGGGAUGGUUAUGGAUCUCCCUGUUGCUUUGUGAGUGAAAUCUGCAGGGAUGUUUUUACCUGGUAACCAUUUAUACAUGCCAACUGAUUGUUGUAUGAUUCCUCUUCUUGAUUCUUUAUCCAGUUUCAAACAGUUGCUGCCACUCUCAGUUUCAUGGCUGUCCACUUCGCUGCUACUACUCUCAGUUUCAUGGCUGUCCAAUUCCCUGAUGUUGCUACCCUCAACUUCCUCUCUCAUGAUCUGUACACCACACUCAAUAAUCUUGUCAUCGCCGAAAUCGCAGCUGAACUCAAAUAUAAUCUCGCUCAUGGUCACAUCGGCUUCAUGGCAUUUGUUUCCUUGGGGAAACAAAUCAUCAUGAAAUAUAAACAGAUGUUCUGACCGAAAAGACAAAGACAGAUGUGGACACUCGCAUCUAUGAACUGUAACACCUCCUUUGCUUCUUAUACUACAGCUUAUACGUUUAUAUCCGUAGUCUUUAACUGGGGAAAUGAGAAGGCAAGCCUUAAACCUUGAGGAAGCAGAGAGAGUACCCGGAGCCAGAGGGAUGGUUAUGGAUCUCCCUGUUGCUUUGUGAGUGAACUCUGCAGGGAUUUUUUUACCUGGUAAGCAUACACAAUCGUAAAUUGAUUUUUGUAUGAUUCCUCUUCUCGAUUCUUUAUCCAGUUUAAAACAGUUUCUGAAACUGAGUCUCUCGGUUGGGUUAUGGAAAGAGAAGCAUACUCUCUCGAGUGAUACACAAUCGUCUGCUCUUAGGUCACGGAGGGAGGGGGGAAGACCCGGAAUUGACUCGAGUUUUGUGCACCUUUUGACAGAAAGCCAUUCUAGACGAGUGAGACAUAUGACGCAAUCUGGAAUCGUCUCUAUAUCACUGCCAUUAAGAAUUAGGUCAGUUAUAAAGAGUGGUACAUGUGUCAAUCUCUUGAGGCUGCUGCUGCAAAUGUUGAGGCGAUCAAGACGAGACAAACAUCCAGCAACUGAUGGAGGGACAUCUUCUAUAUCUGUAUCUCCGAGAUUGAGAACCUUGAUGUUACUGGAGAUUUCUGGAAAAGUUCUCAACCGUGAGCAACCAUUCAUGGUGAGUAUCUUAAGAGAUGCUAAGUUGAUGUUGCUGGGAAUAACUUGUAGCAUACAGCAAAAACCAACAUCUAGAAUCUUUAGUUUUUGUAGAUUCUUAAUAGAAGAUGGAAGCUCCACCAAACGAUUGCAGCCCUUAAGUGUCAAUUUCUCGAGAUUAGUAGAUUUUGAAAGAUUUGGGAUUUCUUUCAAUUGACGGGAACACAUCAGAUCUAUGAUCUUGAGAUUAGGAAGGGACUGCAUGUUAAAUGAGAAAUAUUUCUUAUUUAAAUUGAAUCAUUAGAAGCACUAGAAAGAAUAUCGAAUACCAAACCUGGAUUCCUCCCCAGAGCUUCUUAAUUUUGCUGUAUGGCAUAUGGAGUUCCAUGAGACGUUCCGGCUGAAACCUCCGAGGAAGACUUGUUCUUGGGUAAAAUUCCCAAUGUAGUAACCUAAGAAGAGGUAAAUAAUCCAAAUCUUCUGGUAUUUGCAAAGUACCUUCGCCGCCAAACCAACGCCUAAAGAUUCUUAGGAAUCGGAGAUUACGCAUUCCUUCAAAAGCCCCUUUACCUACAGAAACCUCUCCGAUAUUGGAUGUAUCAAAUGAUAUACCUAUGACUGAUCCAGUACCCUACAAAAUAACAUUGCCAAUGACUGAUGAAAUUGUUAUCACUAAAAAUAGGCAAUAUACAUGUAAGAACUUAAACUUACUGUUUCGGUUGUCAGUACAUCACAAAUCUCAUCGGCCUCAGUUAAAAAUUGACGUUUCCCGGGCUCGUCAGACUGUUCAUGAACUAUCUGUCUACCCAAUUGUUGUAGUAGAUGGUGCAUCACUAUAUGGUCAUAGGUAGAUUUAUGCACGAGAGAUUUAUCGGCUAGGGUCUCUAACCCAUUCCUAACAUCCAAGUUACUAUCAGAAAGCACAGAUAUCACAUUAUCAACGACUUCAUUGUUGAAGACGCAUGCAAUGUGAAGGAAUAGAGAUUGAUUUUUCUUCGACAAUCUGUCAUAUCCCACUUUCAAAAUGUCUUCAACUUUUCCAUCAAGACUUCCAUCAAUUCUAGAUAAUUGAAGUUCCCACACGUGCUUGCUCUGCCCACGCAAAGAUGAACCCACGACACAAAGGCCUAAUGGAAGCUUACCGCAAAGCUUUGCUACUUUAUUGGCAAGCUCUUCAAAACCAUCUGGUACAGAGCUUUGUUUGAAAGCAGAGAGACAUAAGAUCUCAAGAGCUUCUUCCAUGGACGGAAAAUCCACAUGGUAGAUAUCGUUGAUCCCAUGUGCCUCCAAAAUCUUCUUAUCUUCUGUGGUAACGAUGAUCCGGCUUCCAGAACCAAACCAAGAAGGUUCUUUAGCCAAUACCUCUAAUUGCUCUAGAUCAUCUACAUCAUCAAGAAUGAUGAGCACUCUUUGAUAUUGUAGCCAUUCUUUGAUUGCACCUAAAUGACGUAUUUUCAUAUUCUCUUGGUUCAAAAUCUUAGACAGAAGUUGGUUUUGCAACCACAACUUGGAAUCAUGGUCAUCAACACCCAUUCUGCUCUUAAGACUACCCUUGAGGUUCCCCAUAAAACAUUUAAGUUGAAAAUUGCUAGAGAGUUGGUUGUCUAAAGCUCUAGCAAUGGUGGACUUACCAAUCCCUGCAGGACCCCAAAUCCCAAUCAUCUUGACUUCAUCACUUUCCAAGCAUAACAAAGAGUUCAAUUUUGCCAAGUGAGCUUCAUGUCCCACCAUCCCGUCAAAAUCCUUCGACGGUGUAAGAUUAAGUUUGUUUGAAACAUCGGUAGCAAUCUUUUUAAUCAUAUCUGCUUCAUUAGCCCUAACAAAAGCAAAACAAAAUCAUGUUGGUGGGUCGAAAUUACAAAAAUUUGAAGCACUAAUUCAUUCAGAGACAAAAAAAAAAAGAAAAAAAAAAAAAAGAAGAAGAUAAAAACAAGAUACCAAUUAAGAGAAUGUUCUCCUUCUAUGUUUGCAGCAUGAGUCAAAGCAUUGCUCCAACUCUGCUUCGUCUCCUCACUUUUCCCUUCACAAGUCUUCAUGAAUGCGGUUCCGAAAUCUCCCUUCUGUUUCCGUACACUCGACGGAUCAACGUCAUAGAAGAUGGUCAUCACGAUCUGCCCCUGAUCUUCUUUGCACUUGAAGAUUUCCACAAGUUCAUCUAAACACCAGCUCGAAGAAGCGUACUUCUUCGAGAGCAGCACGAUCGAGACUCGAGAUUCUCUAAUCGCUUGUACGAGCUCAGGUUUAAUCGUGUGGCCUCUCUCGAUCUCCUGAUCUUUAAACGUCGUGAUCCCUUUGCUUGCGAAGUGAUCGUGUAAAUGACUGAGAAACCCUCUACGAACAUCUGGGCCAUGGAAGCUCGGGAAAACAUGGUAUCUCAUGAUGCCAGAGGAAGAAGAAGAAGAAGCCAUGAGAGAUCACAAAUGCUUGAACUUGAAGAAAGUAUUUUUAGAAUGGUAUUGGAGAAAGUAUGAUUGGAAAAGCAAGAUCCUUCGGUUAUUUAUCGAAGCAAAAAAAACGCGUAAAAGGAGAAGAGAAAUUUCGAAGAAAUUGGAAUGUACUGAAGAAAUACAAAAUAGACAAAUUUCAAAGGAAAGCUCCUUUGGUUUUUGUAGUGAAGCAAAAAAACGCGUAAAGAGAAGAGAAAUUUCGAAGAAAUUGGAAUGUAAUUGAAGAAAUACAAAAUAGAAGGGGACAAAUUUCAAAAGCGUACGUGUUUCUUUAUAGUCGUCGAGGACCACAAUCACUCAUUAAAGCUUUGCCAUGUGAAAUGAGCACAGAGUUAUAAUAAGUAUCCGACAGUCAAGUUGGUAGAGAGCACAGAGUUAUAAUAAGUAUCCGACAGUCAAGAUGGUAGAGACGACGAAUCACGAAGUUUCGAAUGAGCUCAACCACAUACCACAUUUGGUUUGAAAAGUAAACCGGGUCUUUUAUUUGUUUUAAAUUCAAUAACAGUAAUAUCGAAUUAAAUUCUGCUUUUGGGAAUGAUGAUUUUGGAUAUUUAACUUAGGUUUUUUCUGUUUUUUUUUUUUUUUUGUGUAGUGGAUGUAUUGAAAUAACGUGUGGCUUCUAUUUUAACAGCUUAUGUUUCAUUGGUGUGGAGGACACUCAGUUUCAUAAGUAAAAGAGAAGUUAUCAAAGAAAUUACGAAUUUGACAUUUUAGGGCCUGAUAUUGGGCCCUUAACUUUAUAAACGGGCCGAGCCUGAGAUUUCGGUUUUCCCGAUACUCGCAACUAAGGGUGUCAAAAUAAGCUAGCUCGCUCAACUCGGUUCAGCUCAUGAUGAGCUCGGACAUUUUAUGAGCUAACUCAGCUCAGCUCAUUUAUUAGAUGAGCUUCAAUAUAUAAAUUCGGACUCAGAUCAUCUUGGUCACGAGUUAAAUGAGCUAGCUCAUAACAAAUAAAUAUAAUAACAAAAAUAUUGUAAAUUUUUUUUAAAAAAUUAAAAUAAAUCCAAUAACAUAAUUAAUUCUAAAGUUAAAUAAUGGAAAUAAACCGAGAAAAAAAUAAUCUCAAAACGCCAAACAAAAAAAAUCUCAAAUAAUAAAUCCUAACAAUUAAAUUAAAUUAAUUAAAGAUAAUAGAAAUAUGGAAUGAUCAAGAAUUUAUUCCGUGUUAGAGUCUUGCUCUUGAGAUGAUCCUACAUCAACAUCUUCAUUGUCUUCAUCUACAAGUAAACGUUUUAGAUAAUAUCUAAAUAUGAUAAUUCCUUUCAUUUUUUUGGGAAACGUUUAAGAUAAAUUUUUUAAAGGAUUAUUUCUAUAUUACUUAAUUAUCUUCUAAAAUUAAUAUGUAAAAACACAAAUUUUUUAAAAGAAUAAUUCUAUUUUUGUUUAAUUUAUAUGGAAAAGAUAUAUAUAUAUAUAUAUAUAUAUAUAUAUAUAUAUAUAUAUUUCUAAAAAAAGUCGAGCUCAUGUUCAUUAAAGCUUGCUCAUAUAACUCGCGAUCUAAAAAAAGCUCGAUCACAUAACUCAUUUAUUAAAUGAGCCUAAAAAACAGAGCUCGUGCUCAUGAAAAAUCGAGCUGAGCUGAACCAGCUUAUGAGUUGCGAGCUCAUUUUGACACCCCUACUCGCAACAAAUCCGUUCAAAACAGUAUUUUAUCUAAAUCGCGCUAAAAUUUUAUCAUCCCACCUAACAUUGUGGGAUGUGCAAGCAACGUGAAGGCCAUAACAUUGAUACUAUAUGCGAUUAACAAUUAUUAAAAAGUGUAUUUUAUAUAUGGGACUCCAAAGAACUCGGAAAAUGUUUUCAACGAUCAAAAUCACACCAAACCAAAAUUCAACAUUUUCCUGCAACUUUUUUUUUUCUCUUAAUUUUCUUAGCAACCAAGAAGAAGAAAAGACAGAGGAAAAAUAAAACUCUUUUUUCUUCGUCUUCUGAAUUCCUCAGUUGCUUUCAAAUUCUCAUUUAAAUCUGUUGUAUUGAUCGGUGAGAGACAUUCUACGUAACCAAUUUUUCAAAGGUUGAUUUUCUUUUUAUCAAUUUUUUCAAUUUGAGAUUGUUUUUUGGAUGAUCAGGUCGGAUAUUUGCUCUGUUUCGGUUCGUGUAUGAUAUGCUUUUGUAUGCUCGAUUAUUGAUCGUUCCUUAAAUCAUAAAGAAUCUUCCUUUCAGGUUUGGCCUCAAAACCCUAAUGUUGCUUCUUCUUGAUCUAUAUAUAUCUUAUUGUUCUUUGGUCUCAUUUUGAUUGUUUUUUUUUUCCAGCAUUCAUAAAUCUCUCAAGUCGUGUGGAACAAUUAUUGUGUUGGUUUUAUUGAGAGAUAAAAAGAUUUGAGGAUUUUUCACAACAACAUUGUUUGUUUGUCUGAUGGAGCAAUUCAGACAAAUCGGCGAAGUUCUUGGAAGUCUAAAUGCACUAAUGGUAUUACAAGAUGAUAUCUUGAUCAACCAAAGACAAUGUUGUUUGUUGCUAGAACUCUUCAGUUUAGCUUUCAACACGGUCGCAGAAGAGAUCAGACAGAAUCUAAAGCUUGAAGAGAAGCAUACUAAAUGGAGAGCUCUUGAACAACCUUUAAGAGAGCUUUAUAGAGUUUUUAAAGAAGGAGAGUUAUAUGUUAAGCAUUGUAUGGAUAAUAGUGAUUGAAUCGGUGGGGCAAAGUUAUCAAUCUUCAUCAGAAUAAAGAUUGUGUUGAGUUUCAUAUACACAACUUGUUCUGUUAUUUCUCUGCGGUUGUUGAAGCGAUCGAGGCUGCCGGUGAGAUUUCGGGUCUUGACCCUUCGGAGAUGGAGAGAAGGAGAGUUGUGUUUUCAAGAAAGUAUGAUAGAGAGUGGAAUGAUCUUAAGCUUUUUCAAUGGAGGUUUGGGAAACAGUAUUUGGUAUCGCGGGAUAUUUGCAGCCGGUUUGAGCGUUCUUGGAGAGAAGAUAGAUGGAAUCGAGUUAAGGCAUUACAAGAGAAGAGGAAAUCGGAUAGCGAUGAUAUUGGAAAGACCGAGAAACGUUUAGCAGAUUUGCUUUUGAAGAAGUUAACCGGUUUGGAGCAGUUUAACCGGUUACGAAUAAACCACACUCAAUAAUCUUGUCCUCGUCGCGCCCGCAGUUGAACUCAAAUGUAAUCUCGCUCAUGGUCACAUCCACUUCAUGGCAUUUGCUUCCUUGGGGAAACAAAUCACCAUGAAAUAUAAACAGAUGUUUUGACCGAAAAGACAAAUCCAGAUGUCUAAACUCGCAGCUAUGAACUGUAACACCUCCUUUGCUUCUUAUACUACAACUUAUAGUUCUAAAUCUGCCUUUCUUGACUGGGAAAAUGAGAAUGGAAGCCUUAAACCUUGAGGAAGCAGAGAGAGUACCCGGAGCGAGAGGAAUGGUUAUGGAUCUCCCUGUAGCUUUGUGAGUGAACUCUGCAGGGAUGUUUUUACCUGGUAACCAUUUAUAUAUGCCAACUGAUUUUUGUAUGAUUACUCUUCUUGCUUCUUCAUCCAGUUUCAAACAGUUGCUGAAUUGGAGUACAUUGGUUGGGGUAUGGAAAGAGAAGCGUACUCUCUUGAGUGAUACACAAUCGUUUGCAUCUAGGACCUUGAGGGAGGGGGGAAGACCCGGAACUGACUCGAGUUUUGUGCACCUUUUGACGUGAAGCCUUACUAAACGAGUGAGACAUAUGACGCAAUCUGGAAUCGUCUCUAUAUCACUGUUUUCAAGAAAUAGGUCAGUUAUAAAGAGUGGUACAUGUGUCAAUCUCUUGAGGCUUCUGCUGCAAAUGUUGAGGUGAUGAAGACGAGACAAACAUCCAGCAACUGAUGGAGGGACAUCUUCUAUAUCUGUAUCUCCGAGAUUGAGAACAUCGAUGUUACUGGAGAUAUCUGGAAAAGUUGUCAACCGUGAGCAACCAAUCAUGUCUACUCUCUCAAGAGAUGCUAAGUUUAUGUUGCUGGGAAUAACUUGUAGCAUAGAGCACCAUUGAACAUUUAGAAUCUUUAGUUUUUGUAAAUUCUUAAUAGAAGAUGGAAGCUCCACCAAACUUCCGCAGCCCUCAAGUGUCAAUUCCUCGAGAUUAGUAGCAUUUGAAAGAUUUGGGAUUUCUUUCAAUUUACGGGAUCGGUUCAGAUCUAUGCUCUUGAGAUUAGGAAGGGACUGCAUGUUAAACACAACAAAUGAGAAACAUUUCUUAUUUAAAUUGAAUCAUUAGAAGCACUAGAAAGAAUAUCGAAU